rnacentral:tRNA from 1 species
AAAAAGUCUGAAUAUUUCAGAACAA